rnacentral:tRNA from 1 species
GGAGGGGUGCGUGAGUGGCCGAAACGGGCGGUCUUGAAAACCGCUGUGGCUGAAAAGCCACCGUGGGUUCGAAUCCCACCCCCUCCG